GCCAGGCGCGGUGGCGUGCGCCUGUAGUCCCAGCUACUCGGGAGGCUGAGGCAGGAGAAUCGCUUGAACCCGGGAGGCGGAGCUUGCAGUGAGCCGAGAUCGGCCACUGCACUCCAGCCUGGGCGACAGAGCAAGACUCCGUCUCAA
ensembl:misc_RNA Metazoa_SRP Metazoan signal recognition particle RNA